rnacentral:rRNA from 1 species
UACAGAGGUCUCAAGCGUUGUUCGGAUUCAUUGGGCGUAAAGGGUGCGUAGGUGGUGAUGCAAGUCUGGUGUGAAAUCUCGGAGCUUAACUCCGAAAUGGCACCGGAUACUGCGUUGCUCGAGGACUGUAGAGGAGAUCGGAAUUCACGGUGUAGCAGUGAAAUGCGUAGAUAUCGAGAGGAACACCAGUGGCGAAGGCGGAUCUCUGGACAGUUACUGACACUGAGGCACGAAAGCUAGGGGAGCAAACGGG